AGUAUCAUUAAGUGAAUACAUAGCUUAAUGAGGGGAACUCAGGGAACUGAAACAUCUAAGUACCUGAAGGAAGAGAAAGAAAUUCGAUUCCGUAAGUAGCGGCGAGCGAACGCGGAUUAGCCCAAACCAAUAAAGUUUUCUUUAUUGGGGUUGCGGACAUAUCAUAACGAAGAGGUAUCGUAAUUGAAGAGGUUUGGAAAGACCCACCACAGAAGGUAAUAGUCCUGUAUGUUAAACGAGAAGACUUUAGAUAUGAUCCAGAGUACCACGGGACACGUGAAACCCUGUGGGAAGCAGGAGGGACCACCCUCCAAGGCUAAAUACUACCUAGUGACCGAUAGCGUAUAGUACCGUGAGGGAAAGGUGAAAAGAACCCCGGGAGGGGAGUGAAAUAGAACCUGAAACCCUGCACUUACAAGCUGUGGAAGCACAUUUCUUGUGUGACCGCGUACUUUUUGUAGAACGGGCCAACGAGUUACGUUAAGUAGCAAGGUUAAGCACUUAAGGUGCGGAGCCGUAGCGAAAGCGAGUUUUAACUGAGCGUUCAGUUACUGGACGUAGACCCGAAACCGGGCGACCUACCCAUGAGCAGGAUGAAGCGAAAGUAAAAUUUCGUGGAGGUCCGAACCCACGAGCGUUGAAAAGCUCGGGGAUGACUGGGGGGUAGCGGUGAAAUUCCAAUCGAGCCCGGAGAUAGCUGGUUCUCCCCGAAAUAGCUUUAGGGCUAGCCUCAAGGUGAGAGAUACGGAGGUAGAGCACUGAAUGUCCUAGGGGGUAUUGCACCUA
rnacentral:rRNA from 1 species